rnacentral:tRNA from 1 species
GAGGGUGUAGCUCAGUGGUAGAGUACAUGCUUAGCAUGCACAAGUUCCUGGAUUCAAUCCUCAGUACCUCCA